CUCUCCUAAGUUAGUUUUAUAUUUAUUUGUCUGAAUUUUAGUUUAAAUAACACGACACCCAAUGGCAUACAUGAUAAUUUCAACUGUUUUUGGGGGUAAAUGACAAUUAUAGUAAAUUAAAAUGACCCCAUUAGUCAUAUCUAUUAUCUCUUUAUGGGUUUAUCUUUCUACGUACUGCCACAAAAAUAUUAAUUGUUCUGCAUAUAUCGGUUGAGUUUAAUUCAGCUUUAGGAAUCAGGACAUGUGAUAGAUGGUGUGCGCAUUUGAUUUCAGAAUGUUGUUAGCGCAACAUGCAUGAUAUUCGUGCAUUACCUACAUGUAUGUUAGUCCCAAAAUGACUUUUUAAACUAUAGAUGGUACCACUGAAAUAUUUUGAACCACAUCCCGAUUUCUCAUUUGCUUCUCUGUUUACAUGACCCACAAGCACUUGGUUUGUUUUUAUUCAACAGUACUAGAAUCCUGUAUAAAACCAAGAGUUAACUACACUAUAAUGCUAUUUUGGUUUAUAUAGGAGAGCAGUAGCUUGCGUUGCGAGAGGCUUAGGCGAAGGAAUAUACUAUGGUCUAUGGAUCAGUCUGGGAACAAGAAUAACUAUUGAAAUUGUUAGUGUGGACAUUGUCCAUAGCAAGGUAGCGAGCUAGCUAAUAUUAGCCGAAUAGUGGACCGGGUGUUGAAUAAUUGUUAUAAGAAGAAUUAAAGGAGAUGGAUUGUGAAAUGUCCAUGCUAAGAUAUGGAGGGAAAAAGACCGGCGUCUCUUAGGUUAUUAUACUUCUUAAUUGAGUUGUGAACACAUCAGCUAUUUCAACAUCAUCUUUACUUGAUCUGUAGUUGCAUAUCCCUGCUAUAAUCUUGUGAUAUAGUCUGUUCUGACUAUCACGCUUCUUAAUUUCCAAUAUAUUAAUCCAACAAUUACAGCAUAGCCUGAUAGGCAUUCUUAUCUUUCGCUCAUUCUUUGGUUCAAUUUUGAACUUGGUUGUUUUCAAGGUUCUGCUGUACAGCCAUGCAUCCACAGGAUGGUUGAAAAGCGGGUGGCACAUGUCAAGCUGCGGGAAGCUCAGGGCACGAUAAUCAGCUUCAGCUGCAUCAAUGCAACUCGCUGGUCGAUGGUCCUGCUACCCUAGGUGAUGAGGGGGAUGGUACUUCAAGUGAACUAAGGGGUGUGUCAUUGCUGAUGAGACCCCCUCCCUUUAAAACCAAAAAGGCAAGGCUAGCACUCGGCCUUUUAUCAACCUUUUAAUGGAACUUGGUAUUACUCUUUGUGAAUAUGAAGUCAAAAUUAAUAAUUAAUAAAGGCAAAAUAUACCUUUUAUGUUUAUUCACAGUUGUCAUCACGAAGGUUGCUGAGUUUUUUUGUGCUCACACACCCUGAUCAGUUCUCCUAGAGCAUUGUAAUUAACAAUCAUCCGUAGUUGAUUUCAUGACCGGUGGGCUUUCAGCAAAUAAACAAUCAGAAGGAAUCAAUAAGAAUAUAAUCCGUUGAGUUCAACAUCCUCCAAUAAUAUAAUCAUGCCUCGA